rnacentral:rRNA from 1 species
AUUGAACGCUGGCGGCAUGCCUAACACAUGCAAGUCGAGCGGAUGAAGGGAGCUUGCUCCUGGAUUCAGCGGCGGACGGGUGAGUAAUGCCUAGGAAUCUGCCUUGUCUUGGGGGAUAACGUCCGGAAACGGGCGCUAAUACCGCAUACGUCCUGAUGGAGAAAUUGGGGGAUCUUCGGACCUCACGCUAUCAGAUGAGCCUAGGUCGCAUUAGCUAGUUGGUUGGGUAAAGGCCUACCAAGGCGACUAUCCGUAACUGGUCUGAGAGGAUGAUCAGUCACACUGGAACUGAGACACGGUCCAGACUCCUACGGGAGGCAGCAGUGGGGAACAUUGGACAGUGGGCGAAAGCCUGAACCAGCCAUGCCGCGUGUGUGAAGAAGGGCUUCGGAUCGUAAAGCACUUUAAGUUGGGAGUAAGGGCAGUAAGUUAAUACCUUGCUGUUUGGACGUUACCAACAGAAUAAGCACCGGCUAACUUCGU